AGAACUAAGUUCCAAACAAGAGAUAAUUUUAUAUAAUCAAUGGCUGGUCUCUCUUCCUUCGUCCGCUUUCUCAUUAUGUUUAUGUUCAUUGCAUCCAUCUUGCUCAUGCAUCCAUCUCAGAUUCAUGCAGAUUUGAAGGUGAGCAAAUUUGGCCGGAAAAUCAGACCAAGCCCACCCCCUCCUCCAGCAGGAAACUUUCGGAAGCAACAAAGCCCACCACCUCCUCCAAUGGGUGCACCUCUAAUCUAAGACCUGCAGUCUCAUCCAUUUUUCUCAACCACCUUCGUAGCCAUCUCCUUUAAAUAUUUGUCCAAUUAAACCCUCUGCAAAAAUCAGCAAAUAGUUUUUCAGUUGUGUGAUUUGUAUUUUGGCCAGAUUGCUGAAAGUGUUUGGGGUUUUAGGAUUCUCUGCAAUUUGGGUUCAUCUAUUCUAUAGUAAUUGGUUAUAACUUGUAUUUUCA